CCCUUAGAUGUUCUGGGCCGCACGCGCGCUACACUGAUGCAUUCAACAAGCCUAGCCUUGACCGAGAGGUCCGGGUAAUCUUUGAAACUGCAUCGUGAUGGGGCUAGAUUAUUGCAGUUAUUAAUCUUCAACGAGGAAUGCCUAGUAAGCGUGAUUCAUCAAAUCGCGUUGAUUACGUCCCUGCCCUUUGUACACACCGCCCGUCGCUCCUACCGAUUGAAUGUGUUGGUGAGGAGCUCGGAUUGGCAGCAGUUGGUGGUUCGCCACCGGCUAUUGCUGAGAAGUCCUCCAAACCGCCCCAUUUAGAGGAAGGAGAAGUCGUAACA
rnacentral:rRNA from 1 species